rnacentral:rRNA from 1 species
GACGGUACCUUGCGAGAAAGCCACGGCUAACUACGUGCCAGCAGCCGCGGUAAGUACGUAGGUGGCAAGCGUUGUCCGGAAUUAUUGGGCGUAAAGCGCGCGCAGGCGGCCUCUUAAGUCUGAUGUGAAAGCCCCCCGGCUCAACCGGGAGGGCCAUUGGUAAACUGGGAGGCUUGAGUAUAGGAGAGAAGAGGUGGAAUUCCACGUGUAGCGGUGAAAUGCGUAGAGAUGUGGAGGAACACCAGUGGCGAAGGCGACCUCGUUGGACCUAUAACUGACGCUGAGCGCGAAAGCGUGGGGAGCAAACAGGAUUAGAUACCCUGGUAG